CCGACACAACUGGGACCAUGAGUUCCUCUCCCACAUGCAGCAGGACUCGUCUGGUGUCGGCCGUGUUCUGGUCCUGUUUGUCUUUUGGUGUUCCGCCUGUUGUCCUCGUGACGAUGAAUGGACUCCGGUCCUGAUGAGGCAGCCAGGCGUUCACCUCCCAGCCGUCUUUGAUCCUGCAUUGAUGGCCCAGCUCAACGCAGCCUCCGAACGGGUGUUGGGACAGAUGAAGUAUCCAGCAUUUCAUCUCUCGAGCACCGACACUGGAGAAAAGUUUGGCCUGCAGUCGUUGAGCCUGGUUGCCGCCCAGUUCCUGUGGACUGGGACAAGCACAGGACCAAGUCGGACUCUGCCCCCCCGGCCCUGAAUCCACCUCCUCAAAGCAGCGUGCCUACUGUCCAGUCAUCCUCACUCUUCAUGGCACCACAGAAGCUGUUCCAGUUUCCUCCACGCCCUCCUGUGGAUUCUGCUGCUGUCAAACCAGACGUGACUCCCGGGCCUCCGACAGAUCCAGAAACAUGUCGGCCGUCUCUGCCGCUGCUGUCUCGCCGACUGCCGCUCGCACUGGACCUGUGAAGACAGGGG